rnacentral:rRNA from 1 species
CGCUCGACAUCAGAGUUUGAUCCUGGCUCAGGACAACGCUGGCGGCGUGCCUAACACAUGCAAGUCGAACGGGGCACCUUCGGGUGCUUAGUGGCGAACGGGUGAGUAACGCGUGAGAAACCUGCCUUUCAGUGGGGGACAACAGUUGGAAACGACUGCUAAUACCGCAUGAUGUUAUUUGAGGGCAUCCUCGGAUAACCAAAGCUUAAUGUGCUGAAAGAUGGUCUCGCGUCUGAUUAGCUAGAUGGCGGGGGCAACGGCCCACCAUGGCGACGAUCAGUAGCCGGUCUGAGAGGAUGAACGGCCACAUUGGGACUGAGAUACGGCCCAG